AUAUAAAUUCAUCCUAACGAUAAGUCUUUUACCUGUAUGGGAAAUCAGUGUUCAUAUAGAAAUUUAGAAUUCAUACAAGAGGUUUAUACAUUUCAUUGCCAUGAUUAGUACUACAGAGUCUAUGUAUUUUAAAUUAUAAGCAUGUCCAUAAAAAAAAAAAAUAACUUCAUCAGUCAUCUGGCAGGGAAUUUGAGAAAGAAAAAGUAUGUAAUUUUCACCAUGUAUUGUUAAGAGUUGCACAUUUCAAUUUUUCUUGAGUUUGAUUAAUAUAUAUUAUUUUAUAUUUCUUACACAGAAGUUUUAUGACACUAUAAAGAAGUGAGUUUAAUAGCCUAUUUUUGUUCAUUAGUAAUUAUAUAACUAAAGAGUAAAUUCUCAUUAAAAGGCCCUUAAAUGCCUGCUCAUAAAAAAGAGAGACCUCUUUGGUUUUGUUCUCCGUACAAUCCCAGUUAUUGUAUUGAGGCAAGUCAUCAAACUCUUUAGUAGUCUAAACCUUUAAUUUGGUUUCAGAACAGUAGUCAUGUAUUGAAUACCCAAAUUACCAUGUCUUCAACAAGUAAUGCAAACACUCUGUAUUAAAAAGGUAAUGACUAUAACUUCUUGUAGAAUUUCCUGUGCUAAUUUUUUAAAGAGGAUUUUUGAACUAAAUUUCCCAUGAAGGCCAAAAUCUCGUACUUUUAAUGAUAGUGCAGUAUGUAUGUAUGUGUGGAGGAGGGGGUGGUAAUUUUUGUAGUGGUAUUUUUAAGUGGACACUUUACUAAUUAUGUUGAGGUAAAUAAACACUUUACAACUCUAAAAGGAAAACUUCAAUUAUCUGAAUUAAAUGAGGUACAUGAAAUUAAUUCAGAUAAGUGGGGGAAUCCUUAGGAUAAAUGAUGCAUGUUGAGGGACAUGACCUCAGUCUUGAUUUUUUUUCUCUAUAUAUCUGUCAGCUGUUUUCAUAUUACUAGAUUGAUUCUUUUUGGUCAUGCUAGGAAUCAUUGAUGGGAGGAAGUAAAGUUUGCUCAUUGGUUUUGUCAUCGUCGUUGUUUUCCUUUGCCAUAGAGGGAGUCCAGAAUGUGGUAUUCUGUGACAAGUAUAAUUGCACAUCUCUCACUUGUACUGCCUGCCCUUUUAGGUGGUACACCACAGCCUUCCAUUUUGUCACCUUCCUGUCAGAUGUGUGUGAGGACUCCUUGAGAAUACAAUUUGUUUGAAAUUAAAGCCACACUCCUCUCAAGAUGUUUACACUUCCUAAAAGUCGAGUUACAACAAGUUAUAAGUGUGAAUGGAGCUAUAUAAACUUUGAUUCCUUUCCUGAUCCCCUUGGAGUUUAAUAUUAAGCAGUGUCUUGCAAGGUGACAAAGAUGAUAAAAAAAUCCAUUCAAGAAUUUAGAUGUGACAUCUGCAGCAGGUUCAGAUCUCAGCUAUAAGACAAACUGGAUACUUCGUAAAGAUUUUCGUCUUAUGCACAGAGAGCCAAAAUCCGUUAACUGAAAUUUUCUGGGUGAGCUGCCUGCUGGGUCCAAUGAUGCAGUAGUAGACAAAGAAGUUGAAAAAGAAGGCUCGUGUAUUCUUUUGAUGACUGGCAGAGUGUGACACCAGUAUGCCAUCAAGCCCUGCUAUGAACCCAAGGACAUUAUCACUAAAUAAAAAUGACUUUUUGGUGUGGUGUGAGGGUGGUUGAAGUAAAUUUGAUCUUUAUUUGGGGAAUGAAUAAUAUUUUAUUCCAUAAUAUAUAGUAAUUGUUUUGUUAAUCAAUCUUUUAAGUUCUUGUCCAUUUAUGGAACUUAUAUAGUUAUCACCUUUUAUCAUUGGGUUCUAUUCCUCUAAGGGAAAUACUGUAAAGAAAAAAGUCUACUUAACCUAAAAAAGUUAACUUAAAAAGGUUAAUUUAAGGACUAUAACUUUCGCAUAUGUAAUUUUACUUAGGAGAUUCUUGAAAUUUUGCUCUCUCCUUAAGCAUUUGUCCCCAAUCUUUUUGGCACCAGGGACUGGUGCUGCUAUGAGAAUCUAAUUCCUGAUGAUCUGAAGUGGAGCUGAGGCAGUGAUGCUAGCGGUGGGGAGCGGCUGCAAAUACAUACGAAGCUUAGCUUGCGGGCCCACCACUCACCUCCUGUUCUGUGGCCCUUUGCCGAACAGGCCAUGGACCGAUACUGGUCCACAGCCAGGGGUUGGGGACCUGUGCCCUAGAGUAUUUAAAAUGUUUCUAUUUAUAAAAAGCUAUUGCAUCCAGAGUUUUCUAGGAAAACAUCCUUUUGUGUAGGCUCUUGAAGUCAGUAGUAUACUAUACAGUAUUAAUGUGCAUGGAACAGUUAAUAAAUUAAUGACUUAAUUAAAAAUAACUAAUAAAUAUAUUCAGAUCUGUUAACUAAAUUUACUUAAAUUUGAAAAUUUACUUAAAUUUAAAAAUGAGUUAAGAAGCAGAUAUGAACUGGAAAUAAACCUAUGAAAACUGAAACAUCAAAAUAUUUUCUGAACCAAAUGAACAUUUUAUUUGGUUAGAGUUCCCACUUUUGGCCUGUAUCCGUUUAAAUCAGUAAUAGAAGAUUUGAAAGCAGUGCUGGGAGGUGGGUAGAUUCUCUCAAAGUUAAAUUACAUUUCUUCUUCAGUGAAUCUUUAACUUACUUUUUUUCAUCUUAGCAUUCAACAAAUACUCUGGCAGCCCAGGAUAUAAAACAUAGAUUACAUUUUAUAUAGUUCAUAUAGCUCAUGUAAAAACAAAAAAAGAUUUCCUCAUAACUUACCUUGAAAUCUGUAUUCAAGGCCUCUACCAUUCAGUGUAUCAGUGUGCCCCUGCCGUUGCUGCACAUUUUUGGUCAUAGUGCAAUGCAACUAGCAUAGCCCUUCUGCUAGGAAAAAGAUCUGCAGGUUUUUGAAGAGUGGAAGUUACACACAUCUAAUUUACAAGUCAGAUUAGAGAUCAGAAUCGUGCGAUAGCUUUAUGUGGAAUUGAUUUCAUUUCAUGGUUUUUAAGCUAUUUUUUCAUUGAAGCAGUGCCUAUAGCUGAAAGACAGGUGUGUUGUAGCAUUUGAAUGCCUGAAACUCUUUUGAAUCUGGAAUGAAAGGGGGAUGUUCUUAGAUGUUUAGAUCCUAAGACUCAGGGAUUUUGAAAUGAAAUACUCUCAUUCAUCUUUUGUGCCAUAAUUGAACUGCCCUAUGGAUUUUAUUUGGGACUAUUGUGAUUAAUAUUUAGAAAACUUCACCAUUUUCAAACAUAAGAUACUUAAGGAAAGACUGAUUUUUUUUGUAUGUAUGUUUGUGUGUUUAAAGCAGGAAGCACCAUUUUAUCUUAUAACUAAUAUAUAUUUAAUAACAUAUAUAUGGAUUUAACAUCGAUAGUAUUAAAUCAGCAAUUCCAUUGUGGUCUUCUGGGCAGAGAACAUUAAAUAGAGCACUUUGUGGAUUGCCAUUAUUAUGUUUUUCCCUAAAGUAAACCUUUUUCAAAAUAUAAUGUAUAGAAGAAUGAUAAAUACAGCUUGAUAGGUUAUAGUUAUUAUUUUACCCGUUCUUAUUAAGCUUGAGAAGACAUCUCAUAAAAGUGAGUAAAACUAGUUUAUUGCAGAAAAAAGUGCUAUAUAUUGGAAUUUGAGAAUGUAGUUGCAGAAGAGCAUGUUAAAUUUUUAGUUGGUUCUUGUGCCAGCAAUUGAUUUGAGUAUAAUCAGGAGAAGAAUAAAAUCCAGGUGUUUAAAACUAGUUUUGUAUCAGUAGUCAAAAGACUAUUUAGUUUAAUCUGCCUCCCCACCCCUUUCACCUGGUGAGUUUUCAUAAAUUGAUUCCUGAGAUAACAAAAUAUUGGAAUUUAGAGAGUUGAGGAUUCAUCAGUUACAUCUUUUUGUCCAUUGACUGACAUAGGACUUGUUUAGUUACUGUAUUUAUAGGACAUGAGAAAGGUAGUGAUCCUGACUUUCAUGGACUUCAAAAAAGACUUUUGAAAGAGGAUUAAGGUAAGGAUGUAGUAGGCAUACAUUACUGUGUUUAUUUUAGUAGAGCAGUGACUGUUCAGGUGGUUUCUUCCCCCACUGCCUUUCUCCCUAACUUUGUAACCAAUGGUUAAAGCUGCUUUUCCUUAAGGUGAGUGGGAGGUAAUUUUGUGAAUGGAGAAAGUGAAGCUAUUUUAGACAUUGGGAAAUUAGUGGAAUUUAAAAGGGAGAAUAAGAUUUUAAAUGUGAUAGAUAAUAGAUGACCACUUUUUUUGGAUUGAUAAGGGUGCUAGAGUAAGACUAUCAGUGGAAUAAUGGUUUAUUAUUACCACAUACUAUUGAAACCCGCCUAUGUACUAGACAUUGAGUAAGAUACCUUGCAUAAGUUAUUUCUAAUUCUUUGCACAACCUUGAAAGCAGGUACAAUUAUCCCAACUUUUAAUGAGGAAAGUAGAAGCUAAGUGGUAUACCCAAGGUCUUGAGUAAGAAGUGAAGAUAGAGUCUUACAGUUGUAGCUCAUUUUGUGCAGGGACCUUUUCUUUCCAGUGAUUGUCUGAUAAAUGAAUAAAUAAAAAGUAAUUCGAA